rnacentral:rRNA from 1 species
UACGUAGGGGGUAAGCGUUAUCCGGAUUUACUGGGUGUAAAGGGAGCGUAGACGGCAGUGCAAGUCUGGAGUGAAAGGCGGGGGCUCAACCCCCGGACUGCUCUGGAAACUGUACGGCUGGAGUGCAGGAGAGGUAAGUGGAAUUCCUAGUGUAGCGGUGAAAUGCGUAGAUAUUAGGAGGAACACCAGUGGCGAAGGCGGCUUACUGGACUGUAACUGACGUUGAGGCUCGAAAGCGUGGGGAGCAAACAGG